UACGGAGGGUGCGAGCGUUGUCCGGAAUCACUGGGCGUAAAGGCGCGUAGGCGGCGCGGGAAGUCCGUGGUGAAAGCCCGAGGCUCAACUUCGGGUCGGCCAUGGAUACUCCUGGGCUCGAGCACUGUAGAGGCAGGUGGAAUUCCGGGUGUAGCGGUGGAAUGCGUAGAGAUCCGGAAGAACACCGGUGGCGAAGGCGGCCUG
rnacentral:rRNA from 1 species